UUUGGAGCUUAAGGUACAAAGUUCAACCACGUUAAACGACUCUACAUAAAGCAGGAACUUAGUGGCGAAUGAACUUUUACCUUCGGUUGGGGCGACCACGGAGGAAAAGAGAGCCUCCGAGUGGACCGGGCUAACCCCUAAAGCCAAGAGAUACAUCUAUAGGCCGCAGAACAUCUGACCAAGAAUGAUCCGGCUAAUAAAGCCGAUCAACGAACCAAGUUACCCUA
rnacentral:rRNA from 1 species